CCUACGGGAGGCUGCAGUGAGGAAUAUUGGGCAAUGGACGCAAGUCUGAACCAGCCAUGCCGCGUGCAGGAAGACGGCGCUAUGAGGUGUAAACUGCGUUUGUACGAGGGUAAACGCAGAUACGCGUAUCUGUCUGAAAGUAUCGUACGAAUAAGGAUCGGCUAACUCCGUGCCAGCAGCCGCGGUAAUACGGAGGAUUCAAGCGUUAUCCGGAUUUAUUGGGUUUAAAGGGUGCGUAGGCGGUCGGAUAAGUUAGAGGUGAAAUCACGAGGCUCAACUUCGGAAUUGCCUCUGAUACUGUUCGGCUAGCGCGUCUUUGCUUUAGGCGGUAUGU
rnacentral:rRNA from 1 species